rnacentral:lncRNA from 1 species
GCUCUCCCUGUCCAGCCGCCUGCAGCUGACCCUGUACCAGUACAAGACGUGUCCCUUCUGCAGCAAGAAAGGUGCCCAUCCUGGUGGCCCAGGAAGGAGAAAGCUCGCAACAACUAAAUGACUCCUCUGUCAUCAUCAGCGCCCUCAAGACCUACCUGGUGUCGGGGCAGCCCCUGGAAGAGAUCAUCACCUACUACCCAGCCAUGAAGGCUGUGAACGAGCAGGGCAAGGAGGUGACCGAGUUCGGCAAUAAGUACUGGCUCAUGCUCAACGAGAAGGAGGCCCAGCAAGUGUAUGGUGGGAAGGAGGCCAGGACGGAGGAGAUGAAGUGGCGGCAGUGGGCGGACGACUGGCUGGUGCACCUGAUCUCCCCCAAUGUGUACCGCACGCCCACCGAGGCUCUGGCGUCCUUUGACUACAUUGUCCGCGAGGGCAAGUUCGGAGCCGUGGAGGGUGCCGUGGCCAAGUACAUGGGUGCAGCGGCCAUGUACCUCAUCAGCAAGCGACUCAAGAGCAGGCACCGCCUCCAGGACAACGUGCGCGAGGACCUCUAUGAGGCUGCUGACAAGUGGGUGGCUGCUGUGGGCAAGGACCGGCCCUUCAUGGGGGGCCAGAAGCCGAAUCUCGCUGAUUUGGCGGUGUAUGGCGUGCUGCGUGUGAUGGAGGGGCUGGAUGCGUUCGAUGACCUGAUGCAGCACACGCACAUCCAGCCCUGGUACCUGCGGGUGGAGAGGGCCAUCACCGAGGCCUCCCCAGCGCACUGAAUGUCCCCGCGCAGAGCAGAGGGAAGGCAGCGGAAGACGCCAGCUGCCAGGGCCUGGGGCCACUGGGCCAGCGCCUGGCGAUACUGGUUGGGGGCAGGAUCAUUCUGCCCCUUGUCCACGCACCCCCACCAGCCCUCUCGCUUCUAACACAGGGCACCUGCUGGGGCUCAGGGAUGUUAGGGACGAGUUCCAGCCCUGCCACUGCCCUGGGGCGACCCCUCCCUGUCCCUGCCUCCCUGCUCUGCCGCCCCUCUUCCUGGACCCUCAGUGGCUGUCCCAUGGCUACAUCCUGUGGGUGGGGGCCCUCGACAGGACAGCAGGACGGUUUGUUUUCAGUGGAAUCCCAUCCCUGGGUUCCCCUGGUUCCCACUCUUCCCAAGCCUCCCGGGACUGGGACAUGUUUGCAAUAAAGGAAAGGUUUGUGGCGCCUGUCAUGGCAGGCAUCUCAUGGAGCUCCGUGUGGCUGAGUGCUGCGUGGGGCUGGCGGUCAAGGGAGGCAUCAGGCUUGGGCUGUGCCAGCCCUUGUGGUAACUAACCGCUGGCCUGGGGCUUCCCAGGUGUCAGGCACGGUACGGCUCCGCAGGCUUUGUGUGGCAUCGUCCCCAGGAUACCACUCAGGGCACACAGCUGGGCCGUGGAGCCCAGCAGCCAGAGUGCAGGUCGGGGCACCCUACCCACGGUGGGGCUCUGCAGUGGGGUCACUCAUCAAGCCUCAGUUUCUUCGUCUGUCCCCGCCUUGUGGGAGAGUUCAGUGAUAGGAGCAGGUGCAGUGCACAGAGCCGGGUCACCUGGUCCAGGGCACCAGGCUAUUCAGACCCCUGCUCUACAGACAGAACCAAGCCCUCUCAGGUGGCGGCCCCGGGCUUCAGCUCCAGGCUGGGCCAGGCUUUAUGGGAGAAGAGGCUCUGCCUUCCAGGAUCCUGGGUUUUGCUGUGUUACCCAGGCUGGUCUCGCACUCUAGGGCUCAAGGGAACUGCCCGCCUCAGCCUCCCGAAGUGCUGGGAUUACAGGAGUGAGCCCCGACGCCCAGCCAGGAAACUUUUAAAGUUUUAUUUUCUUUAUUAGUAUUUUUAAAACAAAAUAACUCAUGUUCCUGUAAUAGCUACCAUUUGAGUAAGGUAGAAGUGAGCGCUCGAGGCAGGGAGUGUGACGUUUGGAAGCAGGUGGCUGUGCAGUUGGUGACCUCCGUUUUUCCCACGGGGUUGGUCUGCCACCGGCUGUGUUCUCAUCCCCAUCCUGGGCGUCUGCCUGUCGGCGUAUGUCACAUUGGCUUGUUCUCAUGGCGCAUAGUGCCCUGCCGCCUGGAUGCACCACAGUCCUUCAGCCAGCCCCCACUGUGUGCCCUCUGUGGGUGUUAACUCCAGGUACUUGGGCUGCAGGGUAGAGGAGGCAGCCAGGCCUGAGGCUGUGCCCAUCUGUGGCCUUAGGAGUCACAGCAGCCGCUUCUGAGAGGCCAACAGGUAUCAGGGCACCCAGAGCCACCACUGUGUCCAGAACGGCAUUUCCACUUCACUGGCCAGGUCUAAAGUCCUGAGGGGCCUUUGCUCCAGGGACCCAGGGUACCUCCCUCAGCAGGGCAGGAACUAGGCCAGGAAUACCAUGGGGCACUGAAGGAGGAGCCUCCCUCUAUCCCUGUAACCCUCCAUCCCUGUACCUCUCCAUCCCUCCAUCCCUGCACCCCUCCGUCCCUGUGCCCCUCUAUCUCUCCAUCCCUGCACCCCUCCAUCCCUGUACCCCAUCCCUGUACCCCUCCGUCCCCCAUCCCUGCACCCCUCCAUCCCUGUACCCCUCCAUCCUUCCAUCCCUGCACCCUCCAUCCCUGUACCCCUCCAUCCCUCCAUCCCUGUACCCCUCCAUCCUUCCAUCCCUGCACCCUCCAUCCCUGUACCCUUCCAUCCCUCCAUCCCUGCAUCCCUCUGUCCCUGCACCCCUCCAUCCCUCCAUCCCUGCACCCCUCCUUCGUUGUACCCCUCCAUCCUCCAUCUCUGCAUCCCUGCACCCCUCCAUCCUCCAUCCCUGUACCCUUACAUUCUCCAUCCCUGCAUUCCUCCAUCGCAGCAUCCCUGCAUGCCUCCGUUCUCUGCAUCCCUCCACCCCAGUAUCCCUGCACCUCUUCAUCCCUCCAUUCCUGCAUCCCUCUAUUUUUCCAUCCCUCCAUUCCUGUAUCCCUGUGCCCUCCAUCCUCCAUCCCAGCAUCCCUCCAUCCCUGCUCCCCACUCUCACUUCCCUUCCCUUCACAGACAGGCUUUUCCUGCCAUCCUCAGACCCCACCCAGGGUUACCUGAUGCCUUUCCAGCUGCACACGGGGACUGACUCACCUCUCUCUUUCUCAGUCCCAAAGUCCCGAAAGAGAGCAUCUGAUGUGGUCAGCUUGUGACAAGGCGUCCACCUUCUGUCCAUGACAUGGAGGCCAGGGGAAGGUCUCACUGCCCAGCACCCCACCCUGUGCUCCCAGGCCUUUUGAAUGUUCCUCCUGCUCAGCCCAGUGACUGCGGGCUGUGGCUCCUCCUCCAGCCUCCCCUCGAGGUCCUGGUCUUACUUAGGAGGCCCCGGGUGUAGAUGCCUUCCCACCCACCAGGCAUUGCCCCUUUUCCUGGCUUCACAGACUCGGGAAUAAAGUUUCCUUCUGUUUCCCCUCUUGCAGAAGGAGAUCCGGUUGGCAGCUAAACCGCGCUGGGAACAGGGGCCUGAGUCCUGGACUAGGGCUCUUUCCCCGGGGCUGCUGCAGAUGGGGAGGAGCCUACACCCGCCUCCCGAGUGCUAAUCAGACCUGACAGGCUGGAGAAUGGCCAGUCAGCCUGAGGCCACCGCGGGACACCACCUAGGCCCAGCUUCUCCCCCCACCAGAGGGCGCCAGAGCCCGCCAAGCCUCGUAGGAGAUGGCAACAGGGCCUGCUGCUGCCACCUAGCGGCCAAUUCCGGGAAUGAAUCUCGGCACGCUCAUUACCCAGCGACUCUGCCCAUCUUGACCCUUUAUGUGAAGCAGAACAGCCGCUUCCGCAGUGAGCUGUCAGAAGGCGUCGUGCCUGUCUUGCUAGUGGGGAAACUGAGGCUCAGAGAGGCAGAAGACUUGCCCAAGAUCACACCACCGGGACCCAGGAUUCAAGCGCAGGCCUGCCCAGGCUCUCUGUGGCCUCCUGGCUGCGAGGAGGCAGCCAGGGACCAGGUGCCACCCUUCUGAGACACCUGAGAUCCCAGGCCCGAGAGGAUGAAGGCGGGAUUACCUGGAGCGUGUCUGAAUGCUGGAGGAAGAAGGGCAGCUGGGAGAUGAAGCUGUCAGGAUGGGCCGCAUCCCAUUUCCUGCCUCGUUUCAGUUCAACUUUCCAACAGACCUCCCUGGCUCGUCUUGCUCUUCUCUAAUGGACAAACAAACAGGCUCAGAGAGGUGGUGUGACUUGCCCAAGGUCACUCAGCUUGGAUGCUAUGGAACAGGGACGUCCACUGUCCCAGUCUGUUUAUGGGAAGCCGCUCUGCAACUGUCCUGACCCACCACAUGCCCCACCGCUGUUUCUCUUGCCCUGACCCCUUGUUCCCUGGACCAGGGUGGCACAGCUCCAGGCUCUUGGGCCCUUCCCGAGGGCAGGCACCUGUGACUGUGUCCCCAAAGACCUGAGUGGCUGAGGGGGCCCCACAGAGCUUGGACUUCCUGGAGGACAAGGAGGGGUCUGCCAGCCACCCCCACCACGCCCGCCCCAGGGCUCCCCUGGAGCUUCCAUGCCAGCCGGACUCAGGACCCCUGUGAUCACACUGGCCCCCCCACCGGAUGACCCAGGAUAAUCCAUCUCCCUGUUUGAAGGUCGGCUGAUUAGCAACCUUCAUUCCAUCUGCCUCCUUCAUUCCCCCUGGCCAUGUAAUGGGAUUCACAGCUUCUGGGGAUUAGGACAUGGACAUCUUGUGGCGGGGGCAUAAUUCUGUCGACGACACCAAGAAACACUUGGAUGUUAAGGAUUCACCGAACACUGUUCAGGCUGAGGCAGGAGAAUUGCUUGAACCUGGGAGGCAGAGGUUGCAGUGAGCCGAGAUCAUACCAUUGCACUCCAGCCUGGGCAACAAGAGUGAACCUCCAUCACAAAAAACAAACAACAAAAAAAAUCAGGUAUAAUUACAUACAGUGAAACAUAUGGUGACUCAAGUACACAGUUCAGUGUUUUUUUUGUUUUUGUUUUUUUUUAAGAUGGACUCUUGCUCUGUCGCCCAGGCUGGAGUUCAGUGGCGCGAUCUUGGCUCACUGCAACCUCUGUCUUCCAGGUUCAAGCAAUUCUGCCUCAGCCUCCCAAGUAGCUGGGACUACAAGUGCACGCCACCAUGCCUGGCUAAUUUUUGUAUUUUUAAUAGAGAUGGGGUUUUUUUUUCUUUCUUUUUUUUUUUUUUUGAGACAGGGUCUCACUCUGUCACCCAGGCUGGAGUGCAGUGUCACAAUCUCGGCUCACUGCAACCUCUGCCUCUUGGGUUCAAGCAAUUCUUCUGCCUCAGCCUCCUGAGUAGCUGGUAGCUGGGACUAUAGGCACGUGCCACCACACCCAGUUAAUUUUUUGUAUUUUUAGUAGAGAUGGGGUUUCACCGGGUUAGCCAGGAUGGUCUCAAUCUCUUGACCUCGUGAUCUGCCCGUUUUGGUCUCCCAAAGUGAUGGGAUUACAGGCGUGAGCCACCGCGCCAGGCUGAGAUGGGGUUUCACCACGUUGGCCAGGCUGGUCUGGAACUCCUGACCUCAGGUGAUCCGCCUGCCUUGGACUCCCAAAGUGCUGGGAUUACAGACGUGAGCCACCGUGCCCGGCCAGUUCUAUGAGUUUUGAUGAAUGUGUCCUGCUUCUUCCCAGGCUCCACCAUCUCUUCCCCUAAAGGCAACCACCAUUCUGAUUUCUCUCACCAAAGACUGGAAAAAUAUCCCAAUACCUGGAUGUAUGCCUCACGUGUCCCGCUGGCCCCAGCACCCAGGUAUAGUUAGUUACUGCUGUGCCUGGCUUCACUCUCACUUUUUUUUUUUUUUUCUUUUUUUGAGACAUAGUCUCGCUCUGUAGCCCAGGCUGGAGUGCAGUGUGGCACAAUCUCAGCUCACUGCAACCUUCACCUCCCAGGUUCAAGCGAUUCUCCUGCCUCAGCCUCUCGAGUAGCUGCGACUACAGGUGCCCACCACCACACCUGGCUAAUUUUUGUAUUUUUAGUAGAGAUGGGGUUUCACCUUGUUGGCCAGGCUGGUCUCGAACUCCUGACCUCAAGUGAUCCACCUGCCUCAGCCUCCCAAGGUGCUGGGAUUGCAGGCCGGCCUUACCUGGUAUGGUUUUUAGGUUCAUGUUGAUGCCUGGAGUUUCAGUAAUUCCCUCCCAUUCGUUGCUGAGUAGCACUGCAACACAUGCAGGCAGCUAUUUGGGGAUCUUUUCACCUGUUGAUGGGUGUCUGGACUGUUUCCAGUUUUUGGCUGUUACAAAUGAAGCCUCUGUGAGCCACGUACAAGUUCUUCUGUGGAUGUUUUCAUUUAGGGAAAGGGGUAAAUAGGAGUGGAAGUGCUGGGUCACAGGGCAAAUGUCCAUUUGAGUUUAUUAGAAACAAUUCUCCAAAAUGAUUGGCAUUUUACCUUGUACUAGCAGAGUCUAGGAGUGUGGCUGCUCCCAGAUUCUCAUCAAACUACAGUGCUGACAUCUUUAGUUCUAGGCCUUCUAGUGUGGAUGCACUGGUAUCUUGUUAAAUGCUUUUAACUGUUUUGGUAGAGAUGGGGCCUUGCUGUAUUGCAUAGUCUGGUCUUGAACACCUGGCCUCAAGUGAUCUCCAGCCUCACCCUCCCGAAGUGCUGGGAUUACAGGUGUGAGCCACUGCUCUGGGCCUCAUUCAGUGUUUUGCUUCUCCCUGACAACUAAUGGAGUUAAGCUCGUUUUCAUGUUUAUUGGCCAUUAAGUCAUCUUGCUUUUGGAAGUGCCAAUUGUUAACUGGCUUGUCCUCUUCUUUUUGCCUUACACAGUUAAUACAUGCUGGAGAUUACAUGUACUGCAAAGAUUUUCUCCUAGCCGGUGACUUGUCUUUUUCGUUUUUGUUUCUGUUUUUUUUUUUUUCUUUUUUUUUCUUUUCUUUUUUUCUGAGAUGGAGUCUCCUCGCUCUAUCGCCCAGGCUGGAGUGCAGUGGCAUGAUCUCAGCUCACUGAAACCACUGCCUCCCGGGUUCACGUGAUUGUCCUGUCUCAGCCUCCCGAGUAGCUGGGAUUACAGGCAUGCGCCACCAAGCACAGCUAAUUUUUGUAUUUUUAGUAGAGAUGGGGUUUUGCCAUGUUGGCCAGGCUGGUCUUAAACUCCUGACCUCAGGUGAUCCGCCCACCUCGGUCUCCCAAAGUGCUGGGAUUACAGGCGUGAGCCACCGCGCCUGCCCAGCUUAUCUAUUCAUUGGAGGAUCUGAGUGACAUGAGAAACUUAGGUUUUCUUUUUUUGAGACAGAGUCUUACUCUGUCGCCCAGGCUGGAGUGCAGUGGCAUGAUCUCGGCUCACCACAACCUCUGCCUCCUGGGUUCAAGCCAUUCUCCUGCCUCAGCCUCUGGAGUAGCUGGGAUUAUAGGCACCUGUCAUCACACCUGGCUAUCCACUUAGGUUUUCAAAGGGCCCCUUGGUCUUGGGGUGGAGAGUGAAGGGAAGCAGGGGGAAGAAGUUUAGGUCUUGCAAUCAUCCAGGUGAGACAUGAUAUUGUCUUUGAUCAGUGGCAGGGGUGGAGGUCGGGAGAAGCGGCCAGAGAGCAGAUCUAUUUUGCGGGUGGGGCUGACGGUAUUUGCUGGUGGACUGCCCUGGAACCAGAGGGAAGUACAGAGUCAGGUUGACUACAAGGUGUUUGGCUUAAGUUCGUAGAAGAAAGGAGUUGCCAUUUGCUGGCAUGAGGAAAAUGAAGAAGCAGAUUUUGGGAGGAAAAUGAAGGGUUCGGCUUCUGACAUGCUGAACUCGAGGUGCUGUUUAAGUGGAUGUGGAUUUCACAGUUGUACUGAUGAAGCUGGAAUUCGUUCAAGUAUCAAAGGAGUGUCAUCUAAAUAUAGAUAUUGAAGGUAAUCCUCAGUCAGAUGAGGUUACUGAGAGGGUGUGAGGAGGCAGGAGCGGGGUGAGGCUGGGAGGGGCAGCUGGGGGGAGGGGAGAGAAGCCCAGCGACGUCCUCGGUGUCUGUGAAGAUGGCACUUCCGGCGGAGGGAGAGAUCCCCCGCACCCUGCCUGAGACAGGCUGAGGAACGACCCUACACAGCAACUCAGGGCACCCCAAAUCGAACACGCAACCAUUAAAGAGGGAGCGCCUCUAAGAAGCCGAAAGGGGGCACCACCAGGCUCCAGAGGGGAAAACAGGGCGCAUUUUCUAACAUGUCAGCACCCCCAGACCACCCAGGCCCCCGUCAGAAAAAUACUGGCUCCAUGAUCAGCUUUGAAACAACUUUAUUAGAAGGCUGCUUUAAAUGACAACUUCUAACGUCCAAUUCUUUCUUAAUUUGCUUUUUGACGACUCCAGUUAUAUGUUCAUAUAUAACAAUUUUUGCAUUGAUCUUUGCAUCCUAUUGAAGAUUUCCUCAUCAGGUCAUUCUGGUGGAAUGGAAGUGCAACCGUGAGGUCGCCAGUUGGCCGGCAUUGUUAAGCAAGGGCAGCAGAAGGCUGGGAGGGACGGAGCCAGUCCCCCACCCUCUCCUCCAG